rnacentral:rRNA from 1 species
UACGUAGGGAGCAAGCGUUGUCCGGAAUCAUUGGGCGUAAAGCGCGCGUAGGUGGCCUCGUAAGUCCGCUGUGAAAGUCAAAGGCUCAACCUUUGAAAGCCGGUGGAUACUGCAGGGCUAGAGUACGGAAGAGGCGAGUGGAAUUCCUGGUGUAGCGGUGGAAUGCGCAGAUAUCAGGAGGAACACCAAUAGCGAAGGCAGCUCGCUGGGACGUUACUGACACUGAGGCGCGAAAGCGUGGGGAGCGAACAGG